GUUGCUGUUUCAAGUCAUGUAUAGGGCAUGAAAUUUAGUAGUACUUAUCGCAAUAACUAACCACAUGAUACAAGAUUUUAAGAUUGGAAACUGGACAUCAAAAGUUCAAAUCCAUUGGGAUAAAGUACACAAAUUUGCCUCAUCCUCAGUGUUUUUUUCUCAAAGAAAGAUAACCAAUACUGAAUGUUGAACUACUUCAAUGUUUUGAUACUGACAACUGGAAUAUCAAUUAUCCAAAAGUGGGAUCUAUAGAUUUUCUGGGUGGAUAUCUGAUUGCAAGUUGCUAGUAUCCCACUGGAUACAGUAGUGGUGGAAAUUUCAAGCCUUGGUGACACUCUAUAGGCUCAAGUAUAUUGUUCACC